rnacentral:rRNA from 1 species
AACGAACGCUGGCGGCAUGCCUAACACAUGCAAGUCGAACGAAGGCUUCGGCCUUAGUGGCGCACGGGUGCGUAACGCGUGGGAAUCUGCCCUUUGGUUCGGAAUAACAGCUGGAAACGGCUGCUAAUACCGGAUGAUUACGAAAGUCCAAAGAUUUAUCGCCAGAGGAUGAGCCCGCGUUGGUUUAGGUAGUUGGUGGGGUAAAGGCCUACCAAGCCGACGAUCCAUAGCUGGUCUGAGAGGAUGAUCAGCCACACUGGGACUGAGACACGGCCCAGACUCCUACGGGAGGCAGCAGUGGGGAAUAUUGGACAAUGGGCGCAAGCCUGAUCCAGCAAUGCCGCGUGAGUGAUGAAGGCCCUAGGGUUGUAAAGCUCUUUUACCCGGGAAGAUAAUGACUGUACCGGGAGAAUAAGCCCCGGCUAACUCCGUG